ACGGGACAUGCAAGGAGUAACGGAGUAGGAAAUCCCUCUUGCUUGUAUUAACCUUUGGCCCUCAUGUCUCCCCCACCCGGCCCCCGUUCUCUAAGCCCUGGGGAGGGGGAGGACGAGAAAGCGGCGGCCGCUCCUGUCUACACUGAGGAGUUUCUUGGGGAAGCCCCGCCGACCUCCCUCCUCCAGCAGUGGCGAAGAGAAAUGCAACCGCCCCAGUCCUAGGUUGGGGGACGGGUGGAAAACCCCUCCCCUCGGAGCCGGAUAACGUAGACCGGGGACUUCCCUCCCCUUCGCCUUACGCUUAGGGACUUGCCGCGUGGUCUCCGGGGUCUCCUCAGGGGGCACGGCAGCAGCCGCCGCCAUUAUAGGAUCCCCCCCCCUACAAAAGACAGUUACUUCCGGAUAUCCCAAAGCGUUUCGUCCCUCCUCCACGUCUACUGCGCAUGCGUUACAGCAAGAUGCAAGUUGUUGCAUCGGCACUUUUGUCAGUAUGGGACUUGCGGCAACAAUACCUAUUUAUCACCUGAAUUACGUCCUUUUUCAUCUUUUGGGAGGACACCUGCCACAGUGCUUCUGAUCAAGAGUGGUUACACUUGAAACACACUAGAACUGCCAAACUGAGCUACGUGGGGAAUGUUAGGUGAAUUUCUUCAUAAACCGGAGUUUGGUGUAUGCUAUCAGGAGGAAGAUGAUUGUCAUGCAGAGAAGGGCCACAAUGUUCUCCCACAUCGCCCAGUCAGUAGGCUGUAUUCCCUGGCUGCAGAGUAAUCUUCCAAGCUCUGGAGGUGACAAGGGAGGAGGUGAAGAGUGGAGAGAAGAAUUAAAAUUGUUUCAAAAAUGGAUGGUGGUGGAGAAGCAUAGAGUGGAGGGAGAAAGCAGCCAGAGGGAAGGACGUGGAUGGAGGAGAAAGAGGCAGCAGCAGAAUGGAGAUGAAGAACUGUGGAGGCUGUUAUCAGUUCCAUGACUGGGAGAGAGACUUUUGGAAAGAGAUUUACUGUAGAUGGAGAAAGCCAAAGGAAGGAAUGGAUUGAAUACCCUCUCCCAGAACACCACUUCCCCAAUCUUCAAAGCAGGUGCUUGGAGCUGCAAACAAUUCAAAGCAUUCUAAUAAUAAUUUCCCAUAUCACUUGGAAUUGGACCUUAAAAUAUACUCACGAAGAUUUGCCACUUCCUGUUGGCCCCAGGAUAGCAUUCAUGCCUGGCCUCAUGAUGCCACUAGGAAUAAAAAACAGUUCUUAUUUA